UACGUAGGGUGUAAGCGUUGUCCGGAAUUAUUGGGCGUAAAGAGCUUGUAGGCGGUUUGUCGCGUCUGCUGUGAAAUUUCGGGGCUCAACCCCGAACUUGCAGUGGGUACGGGCAGACUAGAGUGUGGUAGGGGAGACUGGAAUUCCUGGUGUAGCGGUGAAAUGCGCAGAUAUCAGGAGGAACACCGAUGGCGAAGGCAGGUCUCUGGGCCAUAACUGACGCUGAGAAGCGAAAGCAUGGGGAGCGAACAGG
rnacentral:rRNA from 1 species